rnacentral:lncRNA from 10 species
AGCACCUAGACCCAUUUAGAUUAAGUAAAUUUACUGAGGCUCCAGAGGAAGGUCUUCAGGACUCAGACCUUAAUUAUAGAUUAAAAGUAGUUAAUCACUUAUGUCUUUAGAUGAAUGCACACUUAACAUGUAGACAUAUAGCUUAGAAGGUAUAUAAGCUCUGGAAAACUUUGUAAUUUGGAGUUGGUCUGGUGAUAACUUCCAGGCCUUGUCCCUGUAAUCGGUUGCAGAAAUAAAAUCUUUCUUUCUCCCCAGUUCAUCUGGAUCUCGUUAUUGGGCCAUGAGAAAUAGCAGCCCGACCCUCACUCUGGUCUGGGAACAAAAUUUGGCAAGCCAGCCAGGAGAGACUGGGAUGGUGCUGUGUUCAGCGGCUAGCAGCUUGCAAUGAGACAGUCUUCAGGAGGAUCCCAGCAGCUGCUGAUGAGAUUUCCCAAGGACCCUCUUGAAGGCUGUUUCAUGCAGAAAAUUGCACAUCUCUUUCACUACUGGGGAAGAAUGGAGAUCAGGAGUGGAUGCACUCAAAGGGUCACAAUUGAAAAAACUGAUCAUUUUACCAAGGCUUUGACUGGAAUGGUGUGCUUUCCUUUAAGAAAUCAAACUUGACUUAUGGAGCCAACGGAACCCCAAGUUGUCUUGGAACCUCAAGAGGAGAGAAAUUCACCCAACACA